rnacentral:misc_RNA from 1 species
UACAUAUUAGACUUCUUGAGGAGCUACUUGGAAAUAUGUGUCAUUCUUCUUCCCAGGUGAGGGAAGCAAUAGGUGUGACUCUUUCUGUUGUUUGCUCAAACAUUAGACUUCAUGCAUCUCAUCCUCACGAUCAUUCAAAUGAAGAUGUUGAUGUUGAACUUAAAGAGGAAAGAUGGGUUAAGCUUUUAAUUGAACACGCAACUCAGGCAGUAAAGAAUAUUCACAA